AGAGCUUUCUGCUGAUGAACCCAUGCAAGUCACUUACACAGAAGUUUCCUUCCAUGACUCUUUGAGACUCACAGGAAAGUUCCCUCUCUCCCAGGCACACUUCAUCUCACAUACAGUGCACCCAUAUUAUUGCAUACAUUUACCAGUGUUGAUAUUUUGCUGGUUUUAAUGGUUAACCACAUCGGCAGCUAUUUGUAGACUCUGCAACAGCAGAAUAUGAAGGAGAGGAACUGCAGAAACCCUCCCAUGCCUCUUUGGUAUGGAUGUUUCCCAUAACUUCAGAGUAGCGUUAGCCUCCAGUCUGUUCAUUAAGAAGAAAACACGGUGUCUUCCUAAAGCAUCGACACCAAUUUCUCUGCUUCUGGCGUUCACUAAA